UACGAAGGGUCCUAGCGUUGUUCGGAGUUAUUGGGCGUAAAGCGGGUGUAGGCGGUUCUAUAAGUCAGGAGUGAAAGCCCUCGGCUCAACCGAGGAAGUGCUUUUGAAACUGUAGAACUUGAGUACUGGAGAGGAUAGUAGAAUUCCUGGUGUAGUGGUGAAAUACGUAGAUAUCAGGAGGAAUACCGGUGGCGAAGGCGGCUAUCUGGCCAGAUACUGACGCUGAGACCCGAAAGCGUGGGGAGCAAACAGG
rnacentral:rRNA from 1 species